CUUGCACACAAACCCAAAGGUUAUUUCCUCAUGUCAUGACCAUGCUAUGUGUGCACAAAGUAAAAUUGUACCUUGUCGCCUUUCACAGGCUGUGUAAUGUGCCACUGAAAGUGAAUUCAAGGUGCAACAUGU